GAUGAACGCUGGCGGCGUGCCUAAUACAUGCAAGUCGAGCGAACGGACGAGAAGCUUGCUUCUCUGAUGUUAGCGGCGGACGGGUGAGUAACACGUGGAUAACCUACCUAUAAGACUGGGAUAACUUCGGGAAACCGGAUCUAAUACCGGAUGAUAUUUUGAACCGCAUGGUUCAAAAGUGAAAGACGGUCUUGCUGUCACUUAUAGAUGGAUCCGCGCUGCAUUAGCUAGUUGGUAAGGUAACGGCUUACCAAGGCAACGAUGCAUAGCCGACCUGAGAGGGUGAUCGGCCACACUGGAACUGAGACACGGUCCAGACUCCUACGGGAGGCAGCAGUAGGGAAUCUUCCGCAAUGGGCGAAAGCCUGACGGAGCAACGCCGCGUGAGUGAUGAAGGUCUUCGGAUCGUAAAACUCUGUUAUUAGGGAAGAACAUAUGUGUAAGUAACUGUGCACAUCUUGACGGUACCUAAUCAGAAGGCCACGGCUAACUACG
rnacentral:rRNA from 1 species